GUUUGUACUGAUGGCUUUACAUGGAUGAAGGACAAAGAGAAUGAAUGCCGAUCUGAUUUCUCAUGGAGGUUCUCUGUACUCCAGAUCUUGUGAAAAUCAGUUCUCUUGUGGAGUGCCAAAAGAGUCUUAGUUUUCACUGUGCUCAAGUGUGGCUGAAGAUUAUACUCGAAGAAUUCAGUAAGCUACGGGAACUUAAUCCGGCUUCAAUAAUUGCACCCUGGUAGAAGACAUGGAGACAGGAAGAAAUAGUAUUGGCCUCUGUCUAGCUCCAAACAAAUUCAAGACUCAGACCAGUAAGAGAGCAACUGAACAACACCACUUCCGGGUAAAUAUAAUAGUCAAAGCAAACAUGACCUAAACCUCUUGAGAGAACCACAUUGAAGAAAUAAUCGGUAUACUUAAAGUAAUUUUUCAGGCGUGUCAGGAGGAAGCAUAAGGAAAAAGGUAAUCAUCAUAAGGACCGAAUUCCUGAGGAAGCUACGCAAUAAUCGUUAAAUCGUUAAACAGCCAAAUUAUACACAAGAAAAGGCAGUACUUCAGCAGAAAGAACUAUGUUGGUACAAAUGAAGUAAGAAGUUAUUGUUUGGUUUCUGUGACCUGUGUAAGUGAUAAUUUAGAAAGAAAAGUAGGCAAAAAAGCAACAAAUAGAUAUAUAUAUAUUGAUACUUUUGGGUAUCCCAAUGUAAAUAUAUAGCCCAAAUGAAAAAAUAUAUACAUUUUCAAACUGAGUAAAUUGAAAAGAUGAAAGCCAUUUUAUUCUUCUGAAAUAAACAAAUACAUAAAUAAAUAAAAAUCUUGGUCAGCAGCAGAGUAAAUAUUUUUAGGAAAAGAAAGAUAUUCAAUAUGCCAGAAUUCAAGUUUAAUGGCUUUAAUAUUGCAUUUGCUUGUAUGUCUAUAACACUUCUGUUUGACAGGUCAUGUUGCUGCCAUUUACCUGGGUGUUUGGUCUUGUUUAGUUUUUGAAUCAGUGCUCUUCAAGAAAAUUAAGAAAUGUGAUUUCUUUAAAAGGUAAAUGGAUGCAUACUUCAAAGAGAGUCUAAAGAUGAAGAUUGUACCAGAUACUCGUUUAUGAUAUUUGAACUUGCC
rnacentral:lncRNA from 1 species